UUGUGCUUUGACUUAUAAAAAGAAAAAACAAAAAGGAGGGGGGAUGCAAAUGCAGUCAUUUCCCUGUGAGGCUUUCAUACACAGUAUUGCCCAUUAUGCAAAUACUCUUUUCUUACACUACCCACACCAUGAUUCCUAAGAUCCUAAGCCAAAUCUCAAAUGAACUAUGGCACAGUCCUCAGUUUCUGCAUAGUAGGACAUCACACAUUCUGUAAGUUAAGAGGACUGAAAUAUUCUUUUAAAACAGUAUAAGUAAUGUUGCAAUUAAAAUCACUGACUCCAGCUUCUUGUUUGGAAGAGCUGUUUAAGAAACUUCUAGUGGAAAUGGCCAAAUGAAACUUUUUUCAUUAAAAAACAUCAGUUUUUCCAAGACAUGUUUAUGUUUCACCAGGAAAAGCUGUUUUACAGUCCCACAGCUGUCACAAGAGGACAGCAAAACUGUCAUUUCAGCUAAGGGAACAGCAGACAGACUAGGAUUAAAAAAGGCAUGGUGAAUCUCCUUCCUUUGUUCUCCUUCCCUUCCAGUAGCAGGAGAAGUUGUGAAGAAACGGUACUCUUACCCUUUGGACAGCCUGAAAGAUUUGGUGGGUUUUAUUUUCAUCAAUAAGGUCUGGGACCCACAGAACUGCCAUUUGACAUCUAGAAUUAAAUUCUGGAGAAACACCAUCCCAUAAAAAGUGCUGAGGGUUUGUUUUUGUUGUUGGCUUUUUUUUUCUUUUUUUUCCCUGUCCAGAACAGUUUCUACUGCACAGAAAUGCCAUUUUCAGCCUUCUGCUGCUGCUUCAUGCUAUAUGGGACAUAGACCAAGAUGGAUAGAUGAAGACGGCCGGGGAGCAGAGCAGGAGCCCUUGCCUGUGUCACUGGCUUGAAAUAAUCUGUAGAUAUUGGGCAUCACCAAUCAGCCAUCCCAUGAAAUUGGGAUCCUUGUGCCAUCAAGACAAAUGGGGAGGGCAUCAAGCUCACACUUCCCAAAUCUUUGUUCUGGGCAUAGGGAAGAGGAUCCAGCCUUCCUGUUAAACCCUGCACAAGCUCCUUGCAGACAUUUAGAUCCAUCAGAAAAGAGUUCACACAAGUUCUCAGUUAAAAGAGGUGGUAUAUAUAUCUCCUUGUGCUGUUACUUGCAGCCCCUGGAAGAUGUCAAAAUCUUGUGGAGGAUGUAUUUGCUGAUCUCUAUCAGCAGUGUAAUGAGACGGGUGACUCAGUGUUGCUCUAAUUAAUGCAUGGAAAGACCUUUUCUAAAAUACAUUUGGUAUGUUUCCCCCUGGAGACAGGAGAUAUCUGCAGCAAGCACAUCCUCCCACACCUCUCCUGGGCACUAGAACUUAUUAGCAAAUCCCCUACUGAUGCUCUUUUACUAGGGCAGGUACUGCUGUAGCAACCACGAUGGCAAAUGCAGGGUAAGUCGAGCUCAGGAAUUUUGGCAAUGGUUUUUAAUUUCAUGCUGUAUCAUCUAACCAUGAAUCCUAAUGGCAUAUGCUAAAGGGCUGUCAUCCCACCUAGUUCUUAGAUCACUGGAAAAAAAAACAACCACCACCCGACCACCCUGCAAACAGAGAUAGAGGGGGAUAAAAACCCAGCAGUGCCCUAGCAAAGCAUUUUGAAGCAUUUAUGCACCACAGGUUAACCUCCUGCCAAUUUUUUCUCACUGGAAGGAUUGACAGGGUUAAUUUGUUUUCAUAAAUUGGUAGAACUUCACAGCUCUGACAUCUGUCAAUACCUUUGGCCAGCAGGUUCAGAGGUUAUUAGUAUGGAACACACAGACACACGCAGAGCUUAGUCAGACAAACCCAAUUGUGUUGGUGAAAGUAGCUUUAAAUAAAGAGAGAGACAGGAAAAAAAAGUGCUUAUCUGAAAACUGGGAGUGAAAGAAAGAACUGGUAUUACUCAGUGAGUGUGAGAUAAUUUCUGUUAUCUUCCCAUCACCUCCUUGAAGUUUGUGCAGUUGUUGCUGGGAUCCUUUGGCCAAGGCCACUAGCACGGGUGGAGCAGAGUAGUCUGACCUGGGACUACCUCCCGAGAGGCAGGCAGAGGGAGGCCAGGAAGACCACCCACUAGGCAGAGAAAGGCUUCUAUCCCUGUGAGGAGAAGAGAACAAUGUCUUCAUCAUUGUGAGGAGAAGACAACAAUGUCUAUUAACUUGCCUGUUUGCAACACCCCAAUCAUCAGUGACCCAGGAGACCACAAAGUCUCCAUUUAUGGCUCUUAGUGGCAAUGAUUUAGAGGGCCUUCCUUAGGUCUCCCUUUCUUCCUGUGUAGCAAUUUUUGGAUUCUUUGCUGGGUUCAUUUACCACUGGCCAUCUCACUCUAGCUUUUACAGCCCUUUUUCACGUGUAGCUGUGUUGGGUUUGUGUGGCGAGGUUUUGGUAGUGAGGGGACCAUGAGAGUGGCUUCUGUGAGAAGCUGCUAGAAGUUUCCCCCAUGUUCAAUAGAACCAAUGCCAGCCGGCUCCAAGAUGGACCUGCCGCUGUCCAAAGCUGAGCCCAUCUGUGAUGGUGGUAGUGUCUCUGGGAUAACGUAUUUAAGAAGGGGUAAAAAAACCUGAGCAAUGUCAGCUGAAGUGAGGACUGAGAAUACAUGAUACAAACACCUCUGCGGACACCAAGGUCAGUGAAGAAGUAGGGGAAGGAGGUGUUCCAGGUGUCAGAGCAGAGAUUCCUCUGCAGCCAGUGGUGAAGACCAUGGUGAGGCAGGCUGUCCACUGUAGCCCAUGGAUGUUAAUGGUGGAGAAGAUAUCCACCUGCAGCCUGUGGAGGACCCAACACCAGAGCAGGUGGAUUCACACAGAGGAGGUUGUAACCCUAUGGGAAGCCCAUGCUGGAGCAGGUGACCCUCUGGAGAGAGGAGCCCACACUGGAGCAGGUUUGCUGGCAGGACUUGUGAUCCUGUGGGGGACCCACUCUGGAGCAGUCUGUUCCUGAAAAACUGCACCCUGUGGAAAGGACCCACACUGGACCAGUUUGUGAAGAGCUGCAGCCUGUGGGAAGGAAUCACGAUGGAGAAGUUCAUGGAGGACUGUCUUCUGUGGGAGGGACCCUAUGCUGGAGCAGGGGAAGAGUGUGAGGAUUCCUUCCCCUGAGGAGGAAGGAGCAGGAGAGACAACGUGUGAUGAACUGACCACAACCCUCAUUCCCCAUCCCGCUGCGCCACUUGAGGGGAGGAGACAGAGAAAUCAGGAGUGACGUUGAGCCCAGGAAGAAGGGAGGGGUGGAGGAAGCAAACACAGUUUAUUCAACCAGGGACACAGUUUCACUCUCUCAUCAGAACCAAGAUGAAAGUUCUCAGAUCUGCCCUCAUGGGAAGCAAUCUCGAAUAUUUGUGAGGCUGGUGAGGACAACCCUACUCCCAGGAGGUACUGCAGUGGUGUCAAGGAGGCUUGGGCAUGGGCAUUGCUAGUCUCCUCCAUUGAGACUCGUUGAAUGGCAGCUGCAGAGUCACCCCCACACCUCUUUCUUGAGGACUCCUUUCUCAUUAAGCUUCUCCACAUUCUCUCACUUUGCCUUCGGACACAUAUCCUGGAAAACACACUUAUUUUCCUCUGAAAGAGGAUACUGUUUGCAAUACCUGCUGGGUUUGUGUGAGCUGAUGGGACCAACAAGAAAGGAACCUGCAAUGCAGCUUACACUCCUGCAAGCCCCCAGAAAACACCACAUCUAGUUGAAUAUGCUUAUAUAUAUAAAUAAAUAUAUACCUUGGGUUUAAACAUGGGAGGUGAAGCUGUGAGAAAACCCAGAGAACACUGCAGAGAUACACUUUUGUACCUUAAUAUGGGCCUGUACAGGGUGAGGUACCAAUUUGCUAAUUAAGUGGUGUCAACAACAACUCUGAAAUCACACCAGAAGCAUCUUAUAGCAUGGCUGUAGCCGUAGGCUGAGAAUGAACCCGUUAUUAGUGAACAUAAUUAGGACAAGACAAGCUUGUCAUUGCUUCUUUUGAGUUUUGCUCCUUUUCUGUAGCACAAGGUAGAGGCUACAUUUUCCAGCCCAUAGUCUCCCGGAGAUUUUGAUCUAUUUCUGCAUGACUUCUUCAGGAUUUUGAGUCAUUAAGUCAUUAAUUUUUUCUCUUAGUUUCAUUAAACAAUAUGACACAAACUGCACAGAAAACUGCUUCAUUUGCUAAUCAUUAAUUCCUUCAAGCAUUGAAACAGCACCUGAUCAGCUUCUCUUGCAACAUAGUUAGCUUGCCUUGUUAAUAUUUCAACAUAAAAUUUUUUCUAGUUUGUAUGUAGAAAAAAUACACCCGUAUAUAGUUCUUUCUCCCACCAGUCCUAUGACAGCCAAAAAGAGGGAUAUAGCCAGUAUCUGUAAAUCAUGAAAGGCCUACAGAAAGUGAACAGGAACUGGUUUGUUCAGGUGGUUGUUGGUGUUGUUUUUUUUAACAAAAAGUGGAUUACAUCAAAUAAAACCAUGGAGAGACAGGGUAAAAGCAUGUAAAAAAGUAACUGCUACUUCACACAGCAUAUAUCUGCUCUGAGGAGAUCCAUUUCAUAGCUGAAUUGUAUAACUGAUACAGCCCAGGCAGCUACGUGUUUGCACUCAAAAGAAUCUGUGCUGUUAUUGACAUUCUGCUUGCACUGAAUGCAAGCUUCUUGUGCUUUUUGCUUCUUCUGCCCAAAUGAGACAAAGUAAAAUUCCUCCACCUCAUAGGAAUUUUCACAUUGUCUCUUGAUCCAAGUACUAUCUGCUCUUCCUUUUUUUUUACAAGCCUAGACUGUGUCCCCUGAGAUACUAGUUUUCCAAAAUUCCCAGAAAGCCAGUAACGUAUAUGUCAAAGUUUUGCCCAGUUAUCAGAAAGUAAUAAUGAAGCUCUUUUUACCUGCUGCCUCAGAAGAAUCUCAGAAGAGUAUUUUCAUCUAGUAGCUUCCCCUUCAAAAGUUCCAUCUCCACUCAAAACAUUUUUAGAGCUUUCACGUUUGCAUUUAGACAAGAAAAUUUGUCCACCUAUGGGGUUAUGCAGCACAUGAGGAGGCUCAGACUUCAUUGUUAGCUAAAUGGUUUUUGCAUAGAAUGGAGAGGCACUCCAAUUUGAUCUGGUUCCUGUCUGAAUUACAUAAAAACCUGAAACCCAUUGGAAAUGGGAAGAAAUCUCAAGCAGUGUUGUGAGUUGCCCUUCAGUGCAUUUUAUAGUAAGUAACACAACACAGCCUCCAGGCCCCUGCUACAUUAUGGCUUACCUACCAUGAUUCGGACUAUCUAGCUCCUUCUUCAUAGCUAACUACUAAGAGCAAUAUAAUACCGUCCAUGCUGUAUGAGUCUUGCAAAAGAAAACAGCUGGAUCUUGAUGUGAAGGAACCUUACUUGGAAUGUCCACCCAUUGUCGGUCGUUAUAUCACUCUUAACACAUUCCACAAGCACAGAGGGUGUGGAAUUUGGAUAAUGAGGUGAAUUCUCUGUGCUCAAAGAGCAAUUAAGACUGGCUUUGCUAUCUCUUGUGCAACCCAGGGGAGUGAAGGCUUGUCUGGCUAUCACAGGAUACAUAAAUAACAGGGUAGUCUUGGGGAGCCAGGACAGCCCUGCUUGUCUUGGGGAGCCAGGACAGCCCUGCUUUUCGUCAGCAGAGACAGUAAAAUCAAGAUAACAGAGACUUUGUGUAGCUCUUUGUUUCCUUGAGAGGCUACCAUGCCCGGUAAUUGACCUUUGCCUCAUUACCUGUGAAAUGCAUAUUAAAGUUGCAUAUGCUAAUGAAGAUUUUAGAGAUCAUGCUAAACAUAUAUGACUAUAGCACUCGUCUCUCCACCCAAAUCAUACUACACGUCACCUAGGGGAGGGAAACCUCGUAAUUUUGGAGAUAAAAGGAUGGAGAAAAUGACUGUUAAAUUGGGAGAGAAGAAACUUGAUACCUGACCGAUCAGUCGACGGGCUGCGUUCUCUUCCUCCACCCCAGGCAGGGACGCCUUUCUGGGUUACCUGGACAUGUUUAGUUCCUUUUCCCCUUGCACUUGUUGCCGUCUGACCUCGUCUAUUCUGCAAGGAGCUGCAUCUGAAUAAUUAAUGUAGCACCCUUCAGGAAAUCAGAUUGAUUCUUUUUAAUACCUGCUUUACGGCAGGAUUUGCAAAUUGCAAAAGAGAGAAAAAGUGGUUUAAAAGAUGAUAUGGUUUGAUAACCUACCACCUCCAUCUUUUCUCUUCAAGUUGCCCUACUGGGAUUCAAUGCAAAGGAUAAAUUAAAGUGAACAGCAGCAUCUUUGGGACACUUACAUAUUUUAAUGUUGUAGAGUGCACUGAGAUCUUUGCACAGGAAAGAUAUCCUACUGUGUUAUUGUGAGUGAGCAAUAAAGGAGCUUGCAAAAAGGUGCAGUGGCUGCAGAGGUUUCUUGGCAACAUUGAUCCCUGAAAGUCCCUCCCUGAGGGCCCAAGUUAAACACCCUGAUUUGGAGAGCUGUGCCUCGUAUGAUCAUGUCCUCCUGGAUAACUUCAGCAGCCUUCCUGCUAGAUUUUGUGGAUCCCACUUUAAGACGUUUGACUUUUCCUGACCUACAACAGCAGCCUACGUAUCUAAUGGAGUCAUAUGAAUUCCAUGAUGUUGAAGACACCUAAAAAUGAAGUGCCACCAUGGCAAGCUACACAAAAUCCACAGCUUCUGUGUUUUCAGCCUUACUUGUUUAUCUCUGGAUAUAGCAACAAUGCCUUGCUAUCUACUUGCAGUGGACACUUUAUCUCUGUGUGUUUGGUUAACCUCUUUUCCUCAGUGGCAUGGGAUCAAAUCCAUCUGGGGAAAUACCAAAAAGGCACGAGACUUCCAUCCACAAACACUAUGGAAUGUAAUCCAUGCUUUGUAACCACCCACUUUCCUCCCUUCAACUGAAUCUACUGAACUUUGUGUGGCUGUCUUCCUUGCUUCUGGAAUACUGCCUUUGAUUAACAGUAAUGUAACUUGGCCGUACUCUGGAAUCUCCAUGGGAGUCUAUUCUCUCCUUUCAGAUAUUCAGAUAGUUUGCUUUUCUCAGUAUUGCUUUCCUCCCAUUUUUACUUUUUAAAACUGCUGGAAGGUUUUUAUAGUCUGCACAGUCCUGUACAUCAGUGACAAAGGCAAGAGAGUGUUCCUGCUAGUGCCAUCCUGAGCAGUGAGCUGCCACAUACUACAUUCAUUUCCUGUGUCUGAAAAUCUCUAAAGCUGUGAGAUUCCAAAAGUAAACAAAUGUAAUCUUUUUUGGAAGAUGGAAUACAUUGGCAGGUAAAUCUUAAUGACAAUUGCCUCUAAUUAGCACUCCCACCAGAUGACAAAUUUUUUAGUCACAUCAAAGUGUCACUUGAAAAUGUGUAUAUUCUUGUUUUGCCUUUGAAAACAUCGAAGAAAAAUCAUAUAUAUUGGUUUUAUUCUAUUGCCAUAAAUUUUCAUUAAAAGAGGGGAAAAAAUGAGAGGUGAAAGGCAGAAAAUGAGAAAUGGCUUUGAGGAAAGGAGGUCUACUUUGAGUGGAGGAUUGCACUCCAUUCUGCAGCCGGUUUCCUAUUUCGAACAGGUACUCUUUCAGCCUCUUGCACUCACACCCAAAGCUUCUUCAUGAGCAUUAUGGAGAGAUUUAAUUGUGAAUAGGUACUGAGAGACACUGGGUCCACUGAGCCAGGCUUUCACCGACUGAGAACUGAAAACACGCAGUGGGGACUCUCUGUGACUAGCAACUUUUUGAAUGAGUGAAAAGUGGGAUGUAAUGCAAGGGCUAUUUCAAACUGGGGUACCUUCACUAAAAUACACAAAAAACAUAUUCUCCUUCUUUUCUUUUUAUUGCAUGGAAACUAGAAUGGUUUUAAAAUUGAUUUCUAUGACAGUCAGUUUCCAUCUGAGGUAAUUCUUCACUGGGGUCAAUGGGACUGGGCAGAGCUGCUGUUGUAGAUGUCCGUAUCACAACAGUUGACUGAACUUACAUUUCUGUGGUUUUCUUGGAAAAACACAGUAGCUAGAAGCUUUUCUUAAAAUAAUCGGUGAAAUUCAGAAGAAUCAAAAGCAUCAUCUGAGAGAAGCCUGUGCUACACAUUGCUUCCCUACUGCCUCUGCUUCCACAUGCACACUGAGAAAUGUGGUAACGCAUCUGUUCCCAUAACGUGGUGCAGCCUGCUUCUUCCUCUUCCUUAAGUAAGAAACAUAGAUGCCACACACUGUCUUUUUAACAGGUGCAUGAUUAAAUACUGCCAUAGGCCCAUGGUAGGUAUUCACAGAUAGUUUUGAAAAAAUCAUCUUUGUAGGAUAAAGAUUGAUGGGAUUCACAGUGAUUUUUUUUUAGUUCCUAUGGGAACAAUUUCCAUUUAUGCUAAGGACUGUUGUGCCCCAAAAUUAUGGUUACCGAUCUCAGGUGGGAGUGCUGCUGCCUAACUUUUAUCUUGCGGAAUGAUUCUGCCUAUCUAAAUAUAUGACAUUUCUCUCUUCUUUAUUCUUUUACAGUACAUGCUAUCCAUUUUUCUGAGAUCUUUUUUGAAUCCUCAUCCUAGUCUCCAAAUAUUUGCAAACAUUUUACAGUUUUAUAUUACUUGCUAAUUCAAUAAGGACAUUCUAUAUUCCUUCAUCCAAGUCUUUAAAAAAGCAUUUAACAGGACCAGAUGGAUUCUUGCAGAACACCAUCCAAUACCUUCUUUCAGUUUGACAUUAAACCUUUGAUAAUUAGUCUUUGAAUCCACCUCCCCGACCUUCACUUAGUCUAUGCUGUACCCUCACUUCUUGAGCUGUAAAGCAGGGGUGACAGCAUUCCUGUAACUCAUGGAAUUGCCCUGACAAUAAAUUUAGCUGUAGUUGUCAGAUCCAACAUGCUGUAGUAGGCUGAAAAACAGAUUUUGUCUACCUUCCUAUGAUCCUAGCUGUUGAAGUGAUCUUUCUCAUCACACGCAAUGAAGAGCAACAUGUACACACGUUUAUUCUGACCCCUUAUCUACAUAUGGAAAUGUUAAUUGUAAUUCCAACGUUAAUUGGAAUUUCCUGAAAUAUGUCCAGACAGAGUUGGUUUUCUUUGUCGGGGGGAAAAAAUUCCCUUUUGAGGGCCUAGGAAGGGCAGCUGGUUCACCAUAUUCUCUUAUGCCAAAGCAUAAGGAAUGACAAACUAAACAAGAAUAAACAGAGAAAGGAAUGACCAAGAGAAACAGAGAAUAAGUCAACUUUCCCUCCUACCCUCUGCCCCAGAUUUCCAAAGCACUAAGUACAUAUCUUCUGUUGACUUACAUGGUCACUGAGUAAUUCAAAUCUGAGAAUAUAUUCAGAUCUGUCUUGUCUUUUUAUCCUGACCACACAAUCCAGCCUUUGUUCUGGCACUGUAGAAUGAAAUAAUUGACUGUAGUGGAUUAUGCAUUCCAGUUUAUACCAUGGCCAAAUUCUGACAUAGUAAAGCCCUCAACAGUAAGGGCUAUUGUUUAAUUACAGAACAUAAGAGCACGAGGGCCUCAGAGAAGAAAAACAGAGUCCUUGUUUCAAGACAAAAGAGGAAAAGGUUCAUCCCAAUUAGGAGUUAUCCUUAGGUCAAUUUGUAGCCUCCCAGGGCACUCCACCCACAAGUAUGUUAUUAUUUAUCUUGAGCACUCCUACUGUUAUAUGUCUGGUAAAAAGUUAUCCACACAAAGGUUGAUUGCCAACUCCUUCUAGACAUGUCAGGCUUCCCAUGUGACAUGAUCCAACAUUCAGGGACCACACAGACCUUGCAGUAAUCACAGAGGAGGAGAUUGCCGCCUCUUGCUCAAUGCUCAGAUUUAUGAAUCCUUUUUUUGGUCCUAUUGUUGUUCCAAGCUACUGCUCUGGUGAAUGAAAAUGGACAGGUAUCUCCAGAUGGCAACUGAGAUCUUCAGACUGCUGAAUUUUCUUUAGAAAAUGCCUUUUUCUUUCAGUUUUCUAGGGAAGGAACUCCAUGCCCAAUUUAGAUUCCUUUGUUAAACACAUUUUUUCAGUCUGGGCAAAUAUGAGGCUAUCUGUAGGUGUUAUUCUAUGAUAGUCAACAAACUUAAAAGCAGCCAGAAACCUCAGCUGACGCAUCCUUUGUGUCCUAAACUGGUACCAGGCCAUUUCAUCCAUCAAAAUAAUGUUUCAUAUCAAUUUCUAAUUUUUCUGUCUCCAAAUACAGUUGGUGGGAAAGCGCAUUACAGCACUUUACAUUAUAAACAUUUAAAUUCUACUGCUUACUGGACUCAUACAUUUUUAUUGUGUUGAGGAUGUCAGCAAAAUAAUUACAAGAUUUUAAAAUGCUGCUUUUUGAGAAACUUUAAGUGUAUUUGUAUUAAAUUAUCUUUACUGCCAAUGACUCCUGACCACUAUUUUAUGGGCCCAUCAGAGGUUUUUCCAGGUUCCUCUUUAAUUAUUAAAAAUAAAAAUUUGUCAAGUUUUUCUUGGUAUUCAUGCAUUUCACUCAUUGCAAUUAUCCAAACUGGGAUUAGACAAUACCUUAAAAAAACUAUAGCCCCCUUCGUAAUCUAAUUAUCAGAACCUCACAAACUGCAGCUAUUAAACCUAAGGUGAAGCACCAGCUGAGCGUACCAUAACAUGCAUCCUCACCCCAUGAAGCUGGUAUCCACGGGGACCACACACAUUAAAAACCACAUUAGCAUGUUGUCCAUAUGUCACCAAUACAAAUAUCUGGAAGGUAAAGUUAACAAUGUGGUUUUACUUCCUUUGCCAUCUCAGUUUCAUUUUCUGGUUCUCCUUAUUUUUGCUAGCACAAGUGUCUAUGUCUCUAAUUCUCCAUACGCGAGCAGUAGCUUUUCUGUGUGUCAUGGUUUAACCCCAGCCAGCAACUAGGACCACACAACUGCUUGCUCACUCCCUCCCAGUAGGGCAGGGAGAAGAGGGAGAAAAGGAGGGGGGAAAAAACACAAACAACAGAACCCCUAAUGGGUUGAGACAAAGAUAAUUUAAUACAACAGUAACAGAAGACCAAAAAAAAGACAAAUAUAAUAAUGGUAAAAGCAUAUGCAAACUAAAGUGAUACAGAAUCACAGAAUCACACAAAAUGGUUCAGGUUGGAAGGGACCUUAAAGAUCAUCUAGUUCCAACCCCCUGCCAUGGGCAGGGACACCUCCCACUAGACCAGGCUGCUCAAAGCCUCAUCCAGCCUGGCCUUGAACACAAUACAGGUAGCUACAACACAACUAGCUCUCACCACUCA